rnacentral:rRNA from 1 species
AUACAUGCAAGUCGAGCGAACCGACGGGAGCUUGCUCCCUUAGGUUAGCGGCGGACGGGUGAGUAACACGUGGGUAACCUGCCUGUAAGACUGGGAUAACUCCGGGAAACCGGGGCUAAUACCGGAUGCUUGAUUGAACCGCAUGGUUCAAUUAUAAAAGGUGGCUUUUAGCUACCACUUACAGAUGGACCCGCGGCGCAUUAGCUAGUUGGUGAGGUAACGGCUCACCAAGGCGACGAUGCGUAGCCGACCUGAGAGGGUGAUCGGCCACACUGGGACUGAGACACGGCCCAGACUCCUACGGGAGGCAGCAGUAGGGAAUCUUCCGCAAUGGACGAAAGUCUGACGGAGCAACGCCGCGUGAGUGAUGAAGGUUUUCGGAUCGUAAAACUCUGUUGUUAGGGAAGAACAAGUACCGUUCGAACAGGGCGGUGCCUUGACGGUACCUAACCAGAAAGCCACGGCUAACUACGUGCCAGCAGCCGCGGUAAUACGUAGGUGGCAAGCGUUGUCCGGAAUUAUUGGGCGUAAAGCGCGCGCAGGCGGUUUCUUAAGUCUGAUGUGAAAGCCCCCGGCUCAACCGGGGAGGGUCAUUGGAAACUGGGGAACUUGAGUGCAGAAGAGGAGAGUGGAAUUCCACGUGUAGCGGUGAAAUGCGUAGAGAUGUGGAGGAACACCAGUGGCGAAGGCGACUCUCUGGUCUGUAACUGACGCUGAGGCGCGAAAGCGUGGGGAGCGAACAGGAUUAGAUACCCUGGUAGUCCACGCCGUAAACGAUGAGUGCUAAGUGUUAGAGGGUUUCCGCCCUUUAGUGCUGCAGCAAACGCAUUAAGCACUCCGCCUGGGGAGUACGGUCGCAAGACUGAAACUCAAAGGAAUUGACGGGGGCCCGCACAAGCGGUGGAGCAUGUGGUUUAAUUUCGAAGCAACGCGAAGAACCUUACCAAGUCUUGACAUCCUCUGACACCCCUAGAGAUAGGGCUUCCCCUUCGGGGGCAGAGUGACAGUGGUUGCAUGGUUGUUCGUCAGCUUCGUGUCGUGAGAUGUUGGGUUAAGU